rnacentral:rRNA from 1 species
GACGAACGCUGGCGGCGUGCUUAACACAUGCAAGUCGAACGGAAAGGCCCUGCUUUUGUUUGGUUCUCGAUUGGCGAACGGGUGAGUAACACGUGUGUAACCUGCCCUUGUCUUUGGGAUAACUUCAGGAAACUGGGGCUCAUACCCGAUAGGAUCUCCUGCUCCAUGGUGGGGGUUGGAAAGUUUCGGCGGUUGGGGAUGGACUCGCGGCUUAUCAGCUUGUUUGUGGGGUAGUUGCUUACCAAGGCUUUGACGGGUAGCCGGCCUGAGAGGGUGAACGGCGACAUUGGGACUGAGAGACGGCGCAGAAGCGAACGGGAGGCAGCAGGGGGGAAUAUUGCAGAAUGGGCGGAAGUCAGAUGCAGAAACGCCGCGUGCGGGAUGACGGCCUUCGGGUGGUAAACAGAUGUGGAAUGUGACGAAGAGUGAGUGACGGUAAUGGGUAAAAAAGCAACGGCUAACUACGUG